CGGGUGAGUAACACGUGAGUGACCUGCCUUUUAGACUGGAACAACUUACCGAAAAGGUGAGCUAAUGCCGGAUGAGUUAUAUAAGUGCAUGUUUAUAUAGGAAAAGUUGGGGAGACCUGACGCUGAAAGAUGGACUCGCGUCCCAUUAGCUAGUUGGUAGGGUAAUGGCCUACCAAGGCGACGAUGGGUAGCCGGCCUGAGAGGGUGGCCGGCCACACUGGGACUGAGACACGGCCCAGACUCCUACGGAAGGCAGCAG
rnacentral:rRNA from 1 species